UAUCAUAUCAAUCCUGCACACAUUGGAAUGAGAAUUUUUGAAGGACAGAAGAACAACAACAUAUUUCAAUUGAUAUCUUCACUAGUAUCUGAUAUCAAUGGAUUUGAAUUUGUUUUUAUGUCUCAUUGUGUGGUUUAUGUCUCCUUAUAUCGCAUCUCCUAGCUCACGAUUAUGUGCAGGCCCUGUGGGACAGUAUGCUAUAGUGGGUAUAUAUGGAAUGAAGCACAAAAUACCUGUACACGUCUGUAUAUAUUAGAAUCAAAGUUAAUCAGUACUAGCAAGUUUAUUAUGGAAAUUAUAUUCAAGCAUAGUUGUAUAUUACUCAUUGAUAACAACGGUAUGGAUGAAGAUAAAUUGCAAUGUUGAUUACCGCUUUUGAUAAUUUAUAUUACUUAGCAAUAUUUUCUCUGCAUUCCGUAGAGUGCAUGACUGGAUUUUACGGUAGUAACUGUGCUAUUCCUUGUCCAUAUCCGGGAUUUGGCUGGGACUGUCAACUAAAAUGCACCUGUAGCACCGAAGACUGUCAUCACGUGUAUGGGUGCAAGAGAAAGAAAAUUAUUCAUCAUUGCACAGCAUUGAAAUAUUAACCAUACCUGCAUCUGCUUCAAGUGCAAUUUAUAACGUUUUCAAUACAUCGUACCAGAGGAUACGACAGAGGCUGCACCGAAAUCUACCAGCAUCCCCAAUCAGGACAAAAUGUGUGCCGAAGAGAGGGGAGAUGUAUAUGAAAGCAAUUCUACAUCUUUAAUUGCUGGUAUAAUUAUUCUUCUGAUCGUUGCGGGGCUGUUGCUAGUUCUGUACGCAAUGACGUAUCUACAUAAAGUCACGUGCAUAGUUCAAGGAGACACAGCGAGUAAAAGCACAUUUUAAAGUGAUAAAACGUACGACCCCCACGUUCAAUCAAAAUAUGACCGCAUGAAUUACCUUAUAUGUACAUGUAUCUAAAAGAAUAACAAUGCAAUACAAAACUCAAGUUUUGUAUAAUUAAGACUUCUUAUCUCUGCCGAUAAAAACAAAAUCAAGGCAUAGUACUAAAUUUACGUUGAAUUCUAUCAAAUAAUUUUUAAACAUGUUUUUGGUAAAGAAUGGAUGUUCUAAUUACUCAUUCUAACAUCUAAGCUAUUAAUUACUAGACAAAUAUUAGGACGAAUUUGAGGACAAUAGAACGUGGUUUGAUAAUAAUCUUAAAACAGUUUAUAUAACUCUCGAUCGCUGUAAGUUCCUAUUGCACGUGUUGAAGGCACCAGUAGUCUAUCAAAUUUUUUUUAUAUCUCAUAUCUUUAUGGUUAUACGUAACCGAUAUUUAAGAUUUGUGACGUCUGAAUGAUGCUUAACACAACGAUGGAAUUAGAUGAAGAGAAACAGGUGUGUCAUCACUUACAGUUGCAAGAUAUUUCAAUGUUGCACAAAGGACAAUACAAUCUUUUAGAGCAGAUAUCAACACUAUGGUUUAAAAAAUGAUGGUCAUAAAGCAGGUAUUCCAAAGGUGAGUUCACCAGCAUAGUAUCACUUCAUCUGGUUGCUUCAUUGUCAAGAAUUCACAACAGCGCCAUAUUCAACAACUAUCAUUCCAGGGAUUCGAAGAAUGAAAAAUGAAAGGGUGAAGAGAACGAAUAGUGACCAAUCUCAAAACUCUUAUUAGGGAUACAGAUUCAGAGUAGGGCAAACACGGACCCCUGGGCAUACGAGCGGUAAGAACAGGUGCCAAGGAUGACUAAGCUUCCUCUGUUGACCAGUCGCACCAGUGAUCAUUUUGACGGGUAAACGAAGUAAUCCAUAGUAAAAUCCGGGUGUAAACAGCGACCAUAAAUGGUAUAAAGCAUGCCUGACAGCAUUUCACAUAAUGGCAGUGGGUAAUAGUAAAUCACAUUACGGAUGUAUAUUCAAUUGCUGUGAUAAAAUUUAGAAAUUCAUUUCAAAAUUAAGUAUUAUCUCCCUCAUGCAUAACUCUUAUCCUUAGACGAAUUUGACUCCACUUUUUUGGCACUCUGUUUUCCCCUACAUUAGCUGUACCAAGGUUAUUGUUAUUUCGGAAUUCAAACAGUUCGUUGAGCAUCACUGAAGAUAUGCGCAUAAGAUUUGCAUUGUUACAACGAACAUCAAUUUUGAAAAAUGCAAACGUUAAACUAAAAUGUUGAGACCCCUGCAAAAUCAAUUUGUUUGUCAGUAGCCUGAGUCGAUUUUUAAAAACAUAAUCAAACGCAAGCUAUUGCGUAUCAAAUCAGCUGAGAGACAUAAACAGCAUGUGUAGGUGAUAAUGGAAUAUUAGUACAGCAAAGUGAGGAAGCUGAAAUCAUAGCGUUUGUCAUAAAGUUGAAUUGGUAUUUUGCCUUUGAUAUCCAUUUUCAAUAACAUAUCCAAGUAUGAAGCAGACGAAGAGGGAUAUGUUGUGUCUUUUGACUCGAGUUCACAGGGAUGAAAGGUGAAGAUAACAAACAGUGAUCAAACUCAUAACUCCCAUAAGGAUUACAAAAUACAAAGUUGGUCAAACACGAACCCCAGGACAUACCAAACUUGGGAUCAGGUGCCUAGGAUAUAUAUGUGCAGUUUUGUGUCGCAAUUGAUGAAUCAUCAAUAUAUCUUGAUAGCUGACAAAACGUUUGAGUGUUCACUACAUUUUAAAGACUAAGUCUUGAAUUCCAUGUUCAUUUCGUUUUGAUCCAUUAUAUUCAGUGUUUACUAAAUUCUUAUGAAUAUUAUAUUGAGUGAUCACUACAUUUUGAUUACUAUUAUAUCUACCGUUCACUACUUUUUGAUUACUGGCAAUUAUGUUCAAUGUUCACUAAUAAUGAUGACUGUCAGAGUUCGAGCCCCACUCCUGUUAUGACCGUGUCCAACCUAUGACGUAAAUAUAGGCACUGACUGCUCAAACGAAGGCAAUUGCAGGUCUUUCGGAUAUGACCUCCAACACGGAUCUCGGGUCAAAUCAGGCUUUGGUAUGUUAGAGAACCAUCACUGCUACAAUCCUGAGCCCUUAGCAUAGGUCUAAAUUUGUGGUACUUCACCUACGGGUGGUAACAUCUCAUUGUGAGUGAAAGAUUCUCAACGGAACGUAAACGACAAAAAAAAAACCUACAUCAUGUAUUUUUAUUACUAUUCUGUGUGUGUUCAGAUUAAACCAUUGACGUCAAACCAUAUUCUAAAUCUGACUAUAUAGAUAUUCGCUCAUAAAAGAAGUCAAAUCAGAUUCUAAAUCUACUUCUAUAGAUUUUUGUUCAGAUGACGACAUUGAAGUCAUAUCAAACUUUUAAACAUGACUAUAUAAAAGAUAAUACCACUAGAGUUAAGUCAGACUCUAAAAGUGGUUAAAACUUCAAUGUUAACAGAUUUUCUCUCAUAUAUUUAUUCGAAACCUACUGCUGAUAUCAACUUUGUUCUUUCCGUAUAUUUCUUAUACUUACUGCACGAGUUAAAACUCUCUGUAGAUUUUAUCAAUUUAUAGAUGAAUAGGAAUUAUCUGAUUUCAAAUCAGUCUUCGCCUUUUGUGAUAUCUUUCCUGCGGAGAUAUGACAUUGGACAUAAAAACAAAACGAAAAAAUUGAAACUCUCUUCUGAAGGCAUAUUUCAAUCUUUUGCAUCUAAGAAAUCCUAAAUUAUUCCUCUUCUUCUUUUCAUUCAUGUGGAUGGAAUCAACAUUCUUAUGCACGGAAACCAAGUGUACAUUUGUUUUAAGGAUAUUAUGAUCACUUUUACUACGAUUCACAAACAUGUGAACACUUGAACUUUGAAGAAUAAGGGAAAUUCAUAACCGUGUGAAAAACACUUGAGACCAUAGAAAUGUUGAUCAAAUGCCAUCCACGUAUGAUACUAAUAUGAAAUCAAGUAUUUCCCACAUCGCAAACGAAAUAGUUUUCCAAAUUGUUAAAUGGCUAGAUGGAAUGUCAUGCACGCGUCCUGUUUUGUUUGUAUAUUAUCAAGAUGUAUCAUAGCUCAAACGGUUACCACGUAAGUAGGUUUUGUUUAUGGAUGGUUAACUUAUGAUACAAUAUGAAAUGUAAAUACUUAUGUCCUCACACGUCUGAAUUAUUUUUUAAAGAACUACUUUAUCAGUUUGCUCUCUCUCUCUCUCUCUCUCUCUCUCUCUCUCUCUCUCUCUCGGAAUUUUAUUUUAUUGUGUUAGUUUGCUAGAUGUUACCAUUCAUACGAAGUGUAAGGCAUGGAAUACGGCAUUCAAGAAAUGCAAGUAUAAGAUUUUAUGAAAGUCAAACCAAGGCUGGAGGCCUGGAUUUUAUACCAUCGUUAUAACUAAGACAAUGUCAUAUAUCACUUUAGAAUCAUAUUUUAGUUUAGGCUAUGAAUGAAAGUCAUAUUUAAAAUUAACCUUCUUUAUGUUUUGAAUGCGAUGUAGGAUUCCAAGGUGACUACUGUCAGAUGGCCUGUCGUUUUCCGAACUACGGAAAUCAAUGUCAAAUGUGGUGUAACUGCGAGCAAUGGAACUGUAGUUUUGUUACUGGAUGUGGGGAUGGGUCACCAACGAUUUCACCAAGCACUAUGGAAACUUCAUUUCCUGUAUAUUUAUUGACUAGAACUCUUAAAGCAUGUCCGUCAGGAUACACGGGGUCUAACUGUAACUUACCUUGUCGGUAUCCAAGUUACGGGGUCAGCUGUCAGUUACAAUGUGAAUGCAAGAGGCAUCUUUGUCAUCAUGUAAAAGGAUGUAAAAUAGCCUACAACCACUGCAGACAGGGUGAAAGUCACAGAAAAGAUGUUCUAAUGUACAGUACCCUGACACUAGGCGUGGUUUCACUCAUUCAGUUUACAGUUUAUAUUUUUCUUGUAAUCUAUUAUCAGUAAAUAUUUACAGAAUAAGUCCAAUACAGUCAUAUUAUUCACACAUUUCAUGUACAAAGUCUUCUAACCCCCUCCCUCAAGCUUAUAAAGAUCACUGUUAUCAAUAUGUCGAUUUUACAAGUAAAAAGAAAAUGAACAUGUUUAUGAUAGAUAUACCGAUCGUUAAGCCGUUCUUGGCACACUGAUUUUAACUACGGAUAACUUCGUUUACCUGAUCAGGAUAUAGGGCCUACGGCGGAUGAGACCGGUCCACAGGGGAUGCUUACUCCUGCUAGACACCUAAUCCCACCUCUGGUGUGUCCAGGGGUCCGUGUUUGCCCACAAUCUUUUUUGUAUUGUUUCUAAGAGUUAAGAGAUUGAUCACUCUUCGUUAUCUUCACCUUUCAUACAAAUCCGACAGAGUUUUCAUAUUUUCGAUCGUUUGUUUGUGUGGGUUUUUUUUUUAAAUCUUUUAAUGUUAGAAAUAUACUAAAUUCCUGAAACUUCCUGGCAUUGAAUUACUUAUACAUGUACAUAAAUGUCUAAGUAUUUACUUGUGAAGGAUUUACAUAUAUUAUAUUGGUAGCUUAUGAUUAUGAAUUUAUCAAUGAAAGAACUCGUGUUUGCUAGGAAUCAUCAGAGAUGGAGAUGAUUAAUUUCUUGAAAUAUACAAAACUUAAUGAAAAGGUGAAGACAGUGCUCAGUGAUCAAUUUCAUAGGAAUACCAAAGAGUUGGAUAAAAACGGACCCCGGAUGUGGGAUCAGGUGACUAAGAGGGGUAAGCAUCCCCUGACAACCAGACACCUGCCGUCAGUCCUACAUGGAAAGUGGAGAUUACGAACAGUGCUCAAUCUUAUAACUCCUAUAAGCAAUACAAAGUAGAACAUUUAGUAAACACAUACCUUUGGGGUAUACCAGAUUUGAGAUCAGGUACUUAGGAGGAUUCAGCACCACAUGUCGACCGGACACACCAUCCGUGAGCCCUAUAUCUUGAUCAGGUAAACGGAGUAAUCCGUAGUCAAAAUCAAUGUACCAAGAUUCAAAGCCGAUAUCAUAGGUGGAGACAAUGAUAUGUCUUAGACGUUAUACCUGCUUCCAUUAUUUCUACAUUCACCCUAAUAGAGAAAACUAUACAUAUACAUAUAACAUUGAAACUAUGGUAUGUUAAACGUUGAAAUAUUUGUAUUGUACCAUUUUGUAUUUGAUGUUUUCCUUAUUUUUCUUUUCUACAUCUUUUUAUACAACCAUUUUCACAUAUUUUCCUACUUAUUUCUAAUUGACACCUACAUGUAACUUGCAUUAUAAUUUUCCGUUUCCAUCAUAUAAUUUCUCAUUUGAAUUCUAUGAUUUUCCAUUUUUAUUCUAUAAUUUUCCAUUUGUAUACAAAAAUGUAUCAUUUGUAUUUUAUAUCAGGGAUUGUUUGUAUAUUUUAAUUUCGUCUGUCCAAAUUUAUAUAAAAGCUUCGAAACUGAC